rnacentral:rRNA from 2 species
CUGGUGUCAGCCGCCGCGGUAAUACCAGCACCCCGAGUUGUCGGGACGAUUAUUGGGCCUAAAGCAUCCGUAGCCUGUUCUGCAAGUCCUCCGUUAAAUCCACCUGCUCAACGGAUGGGCUGCGGAGGAUACCGCAGAGCUAGGAGGCGGGAGAGGCAAACGGUACUCAGUGGGUAGGGGUAAAAUCCAUUGAUCUACUGAAGACCACCAGUGGCGAAGGCGGUUUGCCAGAACGCGCUCGACGGUGAGGGAUGAAAGCUGGGGGAGCAAACCGGAUUAGAUACCCGGGUAGUCCCAGCUGUAAACGAUGCAGACUCGGUGAUGGGUUGGCCUCGAGCCAACCCAGUGCCGCAGGGAAGCCGUUAAGUCUGCCGCCUGGGGAGUACGGUCGCAAGACUGAAACUUAAAG